rnacentral:tRNA from 1 species
UCCCUGGUGGCUCAGACGGUAAAAGCGUCUGCCUGCAAUGCGGGAGACCCGGGUUCGAUUCCUGGCUAGAGAA